GAUGAACGCUGGCGGCGUGCCUAAUACAUGCAAGUCGAGCGAAUGGAUUAAGAGCUUGCUCUUAUGAAGUUAGCGGCGGACGGGUGAGUAACACGUGGGUAACCUGCCCAUAAGACUGGGAUAACUCCGGGAAACCGGGGCUAAUACCGGAUAACAUUUUGAACCGCAUGGUUCGAAAUUGAAAGGCGGCUUCGGCUAUCACUUAUGGAUGGACCCGCGUCGCAUUAGCUAGCUGGUGAGGUAACGGCUCACCAAGGCAACGAUGCGUAGCCGACCUGAGAGGGUGAUCGGCCACACUGGGACUGAGACACGGCCCAGACGCCUACGGGAGGCAGCAGUAGGGAAUCUUCCGCAAUGGACGAAAGUCUGACGGAGCAACGCCGCGUGAGUGAUGAAGGCUUUCGGGUCGUAAAACUCUGUUGUUAGGGAAGAACAAGUGCUAGUUGAAUAAGCUGGCACCUUGACGGUACCUAACCAGAAAGCCACGGCUAACUACGUGCCAGCCGCCGCGGUAA
rnacentral:rRNA from 1 species